UACAUACAUACACCUUUUAACAAUUUGGAGAUUUGAGAAGACGGUUUUAUUAUAUAUACAGAUAUUUUAAACAAUACAAAAUAUGUUGUAAGCUUAUUAUUAUUUUUUUUUUUUUUUAUGAUGAUAU